rnacentral:rRNA from 1 species
UACGGGGGGAGCAAGCGUUGUUCGGAUUUACUGGGCGUAAGGGCGCGUAGGCGGCGUGGCGAGUCACUUGUGAAAUCUCCGGGCUUAACUCGGAAAGGUCAACUGAUACUGUGCGGCUAGAGUGCGGAAGGGGCAACUGGAAUUCUUGGUGUAGCGGUGAAAUGCGUAGAUAUCAAGAGGAACACCUGCGGCGAAGGCGGGUUGCUGGGCCGACACUGACGCUGAUGCGCGAAAGCUAGGGGAGCGAACGGG